rnacentral:rRNA from 1 species
ACGGUCCAUACACCUACGGGUGGCCGCAGUCGAGAAUCUUCCGCAAUGGGCGAAAGCCUGACGGAGCGACGCCGCGUGGUGGAUGAAGUCCUUCGGGAUGUAAACACCUUUUCCGGAUGAAGAAGUUUAUUGACAUUAGUCCGGGAAUAAGGGGCUGCUAAUCACGUGCCAGCAGCAGCGGUAACACGUGAGCCCCAAGCGUUAUCCGGAAUCAUUGGGCGUAAAGGGUGUGUAGGCUGAUAUGUUAGUCUUUUGUUAAAUCUCUCGGCUCAACCGAGAGCGGGCAGAGGAAACGGCAUAUCUAGAGGGUGUGAGAGGCGUGCGGAACUCAUGGAGUAGGGGUGAAAUCCGUUGAUAUCAUGGGGAACACCAAAAGCGAAGGCAGCACGCUGGCGCAUUUCUGACGCUGAGACACGAAAGCCAGGGUAGCGAACGGGAUUAGAUACCCCGGUAGUCCUGGCCCUAAACGAUGUUCUCUAGCUUCUCGGAGUAUCGACCCUCUGAGUGGCGAAGCUAACGCGUUAAGAGAACCGCCUGGGUAGUACGAGCGCAAGCUUAAAACUCAAAGGAAUAGACGGGGACUCGCACAAGCGGUGGAUCAUGUGGUUUAAUUCGACAAUAAGCGACGAACCUUACCAGGGCUUGAAACCUACUUGAACUCUCUUGGAAACUUGAGGGGCCCUUACGGGCAAGUAGGCAGGUGUUGCAUGGCCGUCGUCAGUUCGUGGUUUGAACUGUUCCCUUAAGUGGGGUAACGAACGCAACCCUCAUCGUCUGUUAUAUGUGUCAGGCGAGACUGCCCCGCCCCAGUUUUUUGAAUCUUUCGAAAGACUGGGGCGGGGAGGAAGGGGAGGAUGACGCCAGGUCAGCAUGACCCUCUGACGCCCUGGGCUACACACGUGAUACAAUGGCGACUACAACGGGUCGCGACGGGGAAACCCCGAGCUAAUCCUUAUAAAAGUCGCCCCAGUUCGGAUUGAGGUCUGAAACUCGACCUCAUGAAGUUGGAAUCGCUAGUAAUCGCUGAUCAUCAACGCAGCGGUGAAUACGUUCUCGAGUCUUGUACUCACCAUGAAAAAGCGCCCGGCAGCGCAUAUAUCUAAGCAGUUAAAAUCUGCUCCCCCAUUCGUCUAUGGGGCGUAGCUGAAGGAUAGUCAUUGACCGUGAGGUUGAU